CCUACGGGCGGCUGCAGUGAGGAAUAUUGGUCAAUGGGCGCGAGCCUGAACCAGCCAAGUCGCGUGAGGGAUGACGGUCCUACGGAUUGUAAACCUCUUUUGCCGGGGAGCAAGCGUGCGUUCGUGAACGCGCGUCGAGAGUACCCGGAGAAAAAGCAGCGGCUAACUCCGUGCCAGCAGCCGCGGUAAUACGGAGGAUGCGAGCGUGAGCCGGAUUUAUUGGGGUGAAAGGGUGCGUAGGCGGGAUGCCAAGUCAGCGGUAACAAUGCGGUGCUCACCGCCGUCGAGCCGUUGAAACUGGCGUUCUUGAUUGGGCGCUAAGUGUGCGGAAUGCGUGGUGUAGCGGU
rnacentral:rRNA from 1 species